rnacentral:rRNA from 1 species
UGGUGGAGUGAUUUGUCUGGUUAAUUCCGUUAACGAACGAGACCUCGUCCUGCUAAAUAGUCCGCAGUAUGCUCGUCAUACUGUUGGUUUCUACUUCUUAGAGGGACUAUCGGUGUCAUUUUUAGCCGAUGGAAGUUCGAGGCAAUAACA